rnacentral:lncRNA from 1 species
GGGUCAAGUUGACUUGAAAGGGAGCACCAGCUCUGAAGUUUGAGGACCCAGACAUUUUUGAGCUAUACUGUGACCUGUGUCAGAAAACUGACGCUGACAACAGACCUGCAAGUACGAACUUGUUAUCCCUGCUUCACAGAUAAAGGGGCUGACUCACAGGAGGAUUCACUGAUGCAGCCAGGAUUGCACCGCCAGCUCAGAGAG